rnacentral:snRNA from 1 species
ACCUCUGCGCAGAGGCAGCGUUGUAGCCAAUGAGGUUUAUCCGAGGCGUGACUAUUGCUAAUUGGAAACUGUUCUCAACUGGGUCUUCCAGGACGGCAUACUUUUGGCAUUGAAGAGGCGCA